rnacentral:rRNA from 1 species
AUUCCAGCUCCAAUAGCGUAUAUUAAAGUUGUUGCGGUUAAAAAGCUCGUAGUUGGAUUUCUGGAUCGAGCGCUCUGUCCGUCGCUGUGCGAUGCGUACUUGAGUUGUCUCGUUUCAUCCUUGCAGGGAAGCGUGUUCGACAUUUGUUUGUCGACGCGGGGAACUGCAUCUUUUACUGUGAAAAAAUUAGAGUGUUUAAAGCAGGCAUUUUGCUGUGAAUACAUUAGCAUGGAAUAAUAACAUAGGACCCUGGUUCUAUUUUGUUGGUUGGAGGCCAAGGUAAUGAUUAAUAGGGACAGUUGGGGGUAUUCAUAUUUAAUUGUCAGAGGUGAAAUUCUUGGAUUAACGGAAGAUGAACUUCUGCGAAAGCAUCUGCCAAGGAUGUUUUCAUCA